CCAAAUUCACAUUGUCAAUCCUGGAUUAAACAAACUUGCUGCAAAACAACCCCAAAAUCGUCUUCUUCCGAUAAAGAAACCCCAUCGAGAGUGAAAUCUCGGUACCCGAAAUCGACACAGACACGACUAUUUUGUUUUUGAGGAUUUAUUUGAAGAACCGAUGUUGUUUUGGGUUCUUUUUGAUCUGGUUAAUCUCGGAUUCUGGCUAGGACUUCAACUAGGUGCUCUACGGGUGGUUCUGCUGUGAGAUCAGUUGCAGAUAGAGAUUUGGGCUUGGGGGCGAUGAGAGUUAGAGAGAGAGAGCCAUUACCCACCCACCUACACCAUGAUGGCUUCAGAUUUGGAUGGUGGAUGGGGGGUGCGGGUGGGUAUGGCUAGUGGUGGGUUUGGAUGGUUAUGGAUGAUGAUGGGGUGGUUGGUUGCAGAAAGAAGAUAAAGGAGAAAGGAUUUGGAGAUAGGGAUGGUGGAUGGUAAAGGUGGGCAUCAAAACCGGAAUAUCGAAACCAUCCCAAAACCGUGCCAAAUCGUGCCAAUCUCGUGUUGUCUCGUUUGGUGUUGACGUGUAAACGGGAUGAUAUCGUGUCAUCCCGUUACUGUUUGGCACGACAUCGGUUCCACAUUUAUGAUCUCCGUUGGUGUCAGAGGGACGGACCCUUAGUUAAUUUUAUGAUCUCGGUUGGUAUCCUAAUUUAAUUUUAGUUCCACCCCUACUCUCCACGUAUAUUUCUUCGACUCCUCUUUGUUUCUCUUGUUAAGAUUUCAGAGGGACGGACCCUUAGCCCACCGCUAGCAACAUUGAUAUUGUCCCCAACUUAACCACUUGUUUAGUAGGUAUAGAGUUUUAUACAAAAGGUCUCGAUGUUAUUAAGAGUGGAACCAUUUAUUAUAUGAGACUUUCUAUUUUGUUAAGUUUCCGAUGUGGGAUUCGUAUAUUCUUCAACAUCUCUACGUCCUUUCCUGUCCUUUCCUUUGUCUAAUUCUUCUCUUCUCUUCUCUUCUCCUUUCCUUUCCUUUCAUUUCCUUUCCUUUCCUCUGUUUUAUUUUAGCUUGAGCAUUUAUACUGGUGAUUUGAGUGUUAUAUGGUUGUUUGCUUCAUUGGCAGGUAAGGAUGUUGAUUCUGAGACCAAAGUGAAGAGCAUUGAGGCUGAUUUAAAGAUUCUAAAGUUGCAGGUCUGUUGUGUUUUAAAACAAAUUUAAUUACCAUUUUUCUUUUUAGUUGAAGGGUCUUCCCGAUUAUUUUUCCUUUUUAAGUGCUUUCGUUAUUUGGGUAUCAGAAUUGGCAAAUCAAUCUUGUAUUAUCA
rnacentral:lncRNA from 1 species